CGCGGAGUGGAGCAGUUUGGCAGCUCGUCGGGCUCAUAACCCGAAGGUCACAGGUUCAAGUCCUGUCUCCGCAA
rnacentral:tRNA from 1 species